rnacentral:pre_miRNA from 13 species
CGGGAUAUUGGUACGGUUCAAUCAGAAAGUAAUGCUCCCAAAAGUAUAGAGUACUAUUGUUUGAUUGAGCCGUGCCAAUAUCACGU